CUCAAAUUUGAUAUCUGGCCCUUGGGUCCGAAUUGUAAUUUGUAGAGGAUGUUUUUGGUGCGGUAUCUUCCGAGUUCCUUGGAACAGGACGCCUUAGAGGGUGAGAGCCCCGUACGGUUGAAUGCCUAGCCUUUGUAAAACUCCUUCGACGAGUCGAGUAGUUUGGGAAUGCUGCUCUAAAUGGGAGGUAAAUUUCUUCUAAAGCUAAAUACCGGCCAGAGACCGAUAGCGCACAAGUAGAGUGAUCGAAAGAUGAAAAGCACUUUGAAAAGAGGGUUAAAUAGCACGUGAAAUUGUUGAAAGGGAAGGAUUUAUGACCAGACUUUUCCUAGGCGAAUCAUCCGGUGUUCUCCCCGGUGCAUUUCGUUUAGUUUAGGCCAGCAUCGAUUUUCGGGGCGGGAUAAAAGCUUUAGGAAUGUGGCUCCCUCGGGAGUGUUAUAGCCUAUUGUAUAAUACCGCCCUGGGGAUCGAGGUACGCGCUUCUGCAAGGAUGCUGGCGUAAUGGUUAUCAAUCACCCGUCUUGAAACACGGACCAAGGAGUCGAACAUUUGUGCAAGUGUUUGGGUGUUAAACCCUCACGCGUAAUGAAAGUGAACGGAGGUGAGAGCCCUUUCGGGGGUGCAUCAUCGACCGAUCCUGAUGUCUUCGGAUGGAUUUGAGUAAGAGCAUAAAUGUUCGGACCCGAAAGAUGGUGAACUAUGCGUGGAUAGGGUGAAGCCAGAGGAAACUCUGGUGGAGGCUCGCAGCGGUUCUGACGUGCAAAUCGAUCGUCAAAUCUGCGCAUGGGGGCGAAAGACUAAU
rnacentral:rRNA from 1 species